AAAAACAAAACUAACCAGAAAAACAGGUUACUUUCUCUUGAGGAAGAAUAAGGGCAGGUGCUCUAGCCCCUUUGAUGACUCUGUGUGCAGGUGCCUGAUGCUAAUUGUCAGUCAUCUUUGAUAGUGGCCCUGACGGUGUGUGUAUUCUCUCUCUAUCUAUAUAUUUAUAUAUUCUCUGUAUAUUUCUAUAUUUAUUUUUACCAAUCCAAAGCCCAAAGUAUUAAACUUUGCUCCAUAAAUCUAUAUGCCGCUGUUUUGCUUUUUUGUGUGUGUGAAUGACACUUUAAAGACCUCAAGCUUGUUUGAGGUUUGAUGUGCUAUUACUGUAUUUCUCAUCAGUGAUCAGACUUUUGCAAGGCAUUCAUUUUACUAAUGCAAAAAAAUUUUUUUUAACAUUAUACUUGCAUUUAAAUAUGGGGAUGCAGGUCACAUCUAGAGAUCUGAAUAUCUCAGAUACUUGAGGGUGGACUCUUUGGGUGGACUCUUGGGUCAGUAAACAACCACCGGGAACACCCUAGCAACCACACAUCACUGCAAUCAAAACACUACUCACAACCACAUAGCAACGCCCUAACUACCUCCCACAACACACGCGCAUCUUGCCUGUGAGUCGUGCUCAUCCAAACACCACCCACGAUUUCUUCAGAAAAUCUAAAAACCUUCUUGUUUCAUGUAAUAGUCACUAAUCUAUCUCUCAGAAACCAAAGAGUGCAGUUUGAAACUGCCUGUAGCAUUUGACUCAUCUGAAGGUCAAAAUCACAGCCUCAUUUAUUCACAGUCACAUGAUCUUAUGAAAAAACCACAACUGCAUUUUUUGAAAAAUCUGUUUGCGUCAUGGACUGAGAGUCUGUGUGUCUUGCUUUCUAUUAAACCAAUAUACAGUACACUGAUAAAAUGGCACUGGUUUUCAUUCAAAAAUAUUAUUUAACAUCACUGAACCAGCGUACAUUAAUUUUAAUGAUUAAUUCCAGGUUACAGUGUACAUUUACUUUGCAAGCAAAAUGACUUAUAUAAGAUAUUAAGCCUUGUUUUCUGAAAAAUGUAUCAUUAUUAAACGUUUAAAUAAUGUUCUGGCAAGGUUCUCUGAAAGUUUUAGUUAACAGAAUGUUUAUUCAAAGUUAUCUGGUUUUUAAUAUUCUCAUAGCCCAUGGAAUAUUUUUCUGAAACAUUUUUUCACAUGUUACUUCGUACUACUUUCAAAUAGUUCAGAGAACAUUCAAAAGGAACAUUCUCAUAAUGCUGGCAAAACGGAACAUUCCCCUUCAUUUUAAAAAUUUAAAUAUUUUGAAUGUUCCGAGAACAUAUACUGGAGAAAUAACAUUUUCCUUCCCAAGUGAAUGUAUCUUGAUGUAAGAAUGUUUAGCUGUUUGUAAUGGAAAACAAGUCAAAAAUACGCCACUGUACUUGAGAUCCAGCUGAACUGAAGAUCUGCUCUAGUUGGAGAUCACUGAACUGAUUCUGCAUUCUUGUCAUGGGUUGGUUUCUGUCGGUUUACUUUAAUGCAAUCUCUCUCUCCCACACACUCUCUCUGAUGUCUGUCAGGGGUCAGUAUGUGUCUCCUCUGAGCUCUGGCCCCUCACUGCCCUCCCAUGCAGUGCUGUGGGAACUUGACCAGUCAUCUGCGCAGUUAUGAGAGGCAUGUGGUGGAGAGGAAGCAGUGGUUUGUGAGUCAGCGCCUCAUGAAUCGUUCCGUUCCGUUGGCCUUUGGCUCUCUUUAGCUCUUUGAGUCAUCUAGAUCCCUGUGGUCCUGUGAGAUGGGUGUGUGUGUGGGGGGGAGGAAAACUUGCGUUCCUCUGUUUCUGGUCCAUUCCGUUGUAUUGUUCAGUGCUGUGAGUGCUGUCAAGAGAAGCAGUGAAUGGUAAGUCAAUAUCUAAUCAAUACUUACAGAAUGGCAUCAGGCUGGAUGGCCUUGUGACAAGCAGCUGCGAAGGAAUGUUUCUAAUUGAGAUGUGUUUACCUUCUAUUUGGUCUUCUCUUCUGAUUUGCUGAGUUUAAAAAACAGAGUGAUAUCGCAUCAUAGUUGUGUAACCGAAAUCAAGAUAUUUCACUGUGAUAGUAGCACAGGGUUGGCACUUUACCAAACCUUAAACACAUUUGCAAAGCGUUUGUUGUAAAAUGUGCCUCAAGGUCUGUGGCGCAUUGACAUAUUACGUCAGUACAUCAGUAAUGCUUUGAUAUUGGCCCUGUGCGUCAGUUCGCUAAUUUAAGCCGAUGAAUCUGUUUGUGCUAUGAUUGUGGUGAUUCAUUACCAAGACUACAGUCUGUAUGGUGCAGACGUACUGGAAGCUUUUCAUAUUGUUCAACUCAGAUGGCAGACAGCCAUCAGACCUUCUGUUUAUUUGUCUUGAAUAAUGCAAAGUUUUGUUUCAUGUUCUUGGUGCGCAGAUCCUGUAAAUGGACUGUGUAUUUGAAGCUAUAAACAAUAGAUCUUCUAGUAUGUCAUUUAUUUACUGCUGUACGUCUAUGCAGUAUGUUGGGCAGCAAAUUUAACCCUUUGGUGCAUUUUUUCUUACUUUAAAUAUAGAAUAUAUUCAUUUCUCUUUUUUUUUCUCAAAAUUAUGCAUUUUGUGAGUGUUACUGUACAGUACAAUUAAAGAUACUAAUGGAAAUUUUAGCUAACUAAAACCUUAAAAAUAUUUUUGUUGCUUGAAAUAAAAAAAAAUAAAAUAAAACUAUAUAGACACAUUAAAAAAAUUUUUUUUAUAAAAAACAAAAACACAAAAAUAUUGAAACUUUAACUAAUUAAAGUGAAAUAAGAAAAUAUUAAAAUUAAUUUUAAUUUUAAUUCAAAAUAUUAACAAAAAUUAUAAUAGUAUAUCAGUGUUACUAAACACCAGAUGUAUAGCAUCACCUUAGCCAUGUAUGUUGUCAUGAUAAAAGUGGUGAUGUACAUCUGGAAUACACACACACACAUACACACACACACACACACACACACAUACACAUUCAUAUAAAACAACAAAUAAAGAGGAAAAAACUUACAGAAUUAGAAAGUAAUCUAUGAACUUUCUACAUUAAUGUGUCAACCAAUGUAAAUGUAUAAUCUUACUAGAUUAACUAGAGUCCUGCUGUUGCACAUUAUAUAAUUUUUUUCAUGAAUUUGUUGUCUCUCUGAUAGAAAAGGAAGUCUAUGUGACCUUCUUCAUUUCACAUGGACCCUUUGGAUUUUUUCCCAGCAUAGUGUGGGAAAACCAGUUCCCUCCUCCGGUCUAUCUUUAGCUGCUUCGCUGUAGGCAGGGCUGUGUUGUCCAUUCAGAGAAAGACUGGCUAACUCCCAAUUCACAUCCUAGCACUCCUAAAUAGCUCACAAGAGUUAAAUUAGUGCAUUUAUAAUCACAGUAAGUACAAACUAGAAAUGCAAAGCCAAAUUGAACAGAUAUGACCCUAAACAUAAAGUAAUAAGACGUUUUAAGAUAAAUACUUGUUAAUAUGCGUGCUACAAGCUACCAUGCAAAUAAAAACAGUACUCGGCAAGAUACUGAAGGAGAGCUUUGUGUUUUGUGUUUGUGUUUUUCACAAAACCGGCAAGUAAGGCAAAAACAAAGUGAAUAAAUAUGCCUAAACAUAAAUUUAAAAUACAUUUUUAGAUACAUAUAAUGUGCUACAUGCAAAUGCUAAGAUAUAAACACAAGUAGUACUCAACAAGUUACGGAAAAGAGCAGUGUGUGAGUAAGCAAUAAGUUACUACGACACAAAUAAGUCAGGCAUGACACAAAGCGUCACUGCAACCCCUUCAGCCAUGAUUUAUUCACAAUACAGCACGCCUUGAGUACCUUAUUGCUUUUAUACAACAGUUUCCACACAAUAAAAAAUAUUAAAAUCAAAAAUGAAUGUACUGAUAUGUUACUUUUUUGAAGCCAGUUCGUUAAAUGCUGUCCUUUUGCUAAAAAAGGAGCGUGGUCUCAAAAUUAAAGAUGAACGAUGCAACAUAACGCCAGCAGGGGUCACUCAUACUCCAUUAAAUAAAUAACAAACAGUUAAUUUUUGCCAAAAUACAUAAUAUAUGGAGCAAUUAUGAUUAUGUUGCUAAGGGUGGUUGCUAAGGGUGUUGCGCGGUGAUACCCAGAACCAUUGGGUGAAGCGGUCAUAGCUGUGCCUUAUCAUGAAUAAAACACAGCAGCUGACCAAUCAGAAUCGAGAACUGGAGAAGACAAAAUGAACAUAUAACCAUAUAAUAAAGCAUAUAAACAAAUAAUACUAUGCUGCAUGCUAAUGCUAACAUUGCAAACUUAAUGGUGGAGCAUGAUGAUAAAAUUGGCAAGGAAUGCAAAGCCAAGGUGAACAAAUAUGAACCAACCCACAAAUAUGAACAAGUAUAAACAGAAAUUAAAAUAAAUAUUGUGCUAAAUGCUAAUACUAACAUACAAAAACAAACAGUAGCCUACUCGACAAGUUACAGAAGCAGUUUGUGAUGCUUUUCAUAAAACUGGCCAGGAAUGCAAAGCAAAAGUAAACAAAUGUGAACCUAAAUGUAAAGUAGUAAUAUGAUUUAACAUAAAUAAUGCACAACAUACUAAUGCUAACAUGCAAACACAAGCUGAAAAGUUACUGAAGAAGAGCUGGUUUUGUGUUGGUUUUGGUAAAACUGGCAAGGAAUGCAAAGCCAAAGUGAACAAAUAUGAACCUAAACGUAAAGUAAAAAUAUAUUUUAAGAUAAAAUAAUGCAGUGCAUGCUAAUGCUAACAUGCAAACAAAAAGGACUGGACAAGUAUGGUAUGAAGAUGCAUAUUUUACACACACAUUCCAAUACUGGCAUAUUAUUUUACAACAUAUUCAAAUCGAUUCAUUGUAAUAUGCUAGAUGUUGUUUCAGCUAAAAAAUUUAGGUUUAAGUUUGUUCACAGAGCAAAUUAAGAAAAUGAACCAAGAGAAAGUCCAAAACGCACCAAACCUUAGCUGAGCUUCUGGCUUUGAUGCCAAAGCACGUUUUGCAGAAGUGUGAGAGGUCUUGUUUUGAUAUUGCCAUGCAGAACAGACUAAAAUAAGCCCUUCAUAGAGGCAUGUACCCCACACUAGUAUACCAUUUACAGUAAGUGGAGAGCGUCAGAACUGAUAGCGUAAACCACUGGCUCCAGGGAGCAUGAUGCAUUAUGCACUGCGUGGGGUGCAUGGGCGGCUAUGACAGAGAUGAGUCAGCAAUCUUACCAAGCAGAAAACAGAAAAAAAAAUUGAUUAGUCUUUAACGUUAAUCUUGAUCUAGAGCGUAACAUUCUCAUAGACAGACGAUUCUCGGAGAGCUUUCAACUGAAGCAAGAAAAUUGAAUCGCAGGUUUGUUUUGUGAUUUUUUUUUCUUCAAAAGUAGGUUAAGACUUCUUUUAUGUGCACUGUAUGUAUAAGGUUGUCUAAAUGUAGAUGCAUCUUGAUUACAUGAAGAUGGCAUUGCUUUGUCGCAGGUGUUAAUUAUAAUUGUUGUGGGAGAAUUUUUGAUGCAUUUAGCUUCCGCGUUCGUUUAAUUCAUUUAAAGCAUAGUCAAGCAUACUAAUGUAACUUUCAUGCUUUGUGUUGUGUUCUGUUGUGUAUGUUUCAUGCUGUAUUCAUUUUGCAUGGUUAAUAAGUUAAUAAAAAUUUUUAAAAUCAAAUCUGGCAAUGAAUGAGAUGCUUUCACUUGACAGCUUACUAGGCCACGUCAUUUAUUGAAUCGACUUGACCGCUAGAUUGUACACACGUCAUUUGUUGACCAUAAUUGCCUUUUCAUAUUAUGUAGAGAAGAUUAGUAUUUUAUGCAACACAAAAUACAUGUCCUAGCUUAUGUGCAUUAAUAUUUCAUUUAAAAUAAUCCCUUAACUCAAUGCACAACACAAUUGAUUCAUUUGACCUCACCAGUGAGAAGGAGCGUAAAUAUGAUUUGUUUUGAUUAAAUGCAAAUGUUGUAAUUUUAAAAAAAUAUUUUUUAAAGAUCAUUUCUCUUGUGGGCAGUCUUUACAUUUACAGUGUCGUAAAUCUGCUCAAUUACAGAACUGGCUGGGUAUACAGCAGCUGGAUAGAAGGUGGCUUUUUUAUUUUUUUAAAUAAGUUUAUAUGAGUUGUUAUGAUUUCUGGUAAAGAUGAUGUGGAGCUGGCUAAAUGUCACCUUAAUGUCACAGGAAAAGGACGAGUAUCAGUUGUUUGAGUAGAAUCAGGUGUCAAAUGACUCUUAAAUUGCCUAUUUGAUCAUCCGAGCCUGGUUUCAGUUCGAUUUGUCAUCAUACGAACUAUCCAAAUUACAAAUCGUGAAAUGUUUGUGAAAUGGUUUAGUCAUUUCGUCUGGUCUCUCUUUUUUUAGUAGUAAGAUUCAGCACAUUUUUUCAAAGGGUGCAAAGAAUAGGUUUGCUGAUGCAUGAUGUCAGUAGGGCACCGCAUGGUCUCGGCCCUCCGCAUUCUACGGCUUUUAGUCAGCGCUGUAGAUUCUCAUGAUUGCAGAUUGUAAAUGCAUUAACUCUUUGCUUAUCAGCUCAUUGUGGCCAAGACAUCUCGCAUAUUUGGCUUGCUGUUAUAAACUUUCACUUUGCCACGAGUCGAAAACAAUUAAUCGUGAUUUUACGUUACAAAUCGGUCCAAAACAAUACCAAGAUUGCUUAUUGUACAAAAGUAAAAAAAAAUACAAAAAUUGAUGAUUUAAAUGUAUUGGCAUGCUACCCAACAAUAUGCAGAAAUAGAAACAAGAUAUAGACUGAACAGGACGAUUUUGUAAUUGCAUAAACAAGAGGUUUAAGUGAUUUCCCAGACAAACACAUGUAGGAAGUGUUUUCUCCUUACAUUUAAAAGAUAUUUUGCUAUCUGAUUUUAUGUUUAUAUGCAUUUUCCUAGCAUUGUUUAUUCCUUGCUGUUUGUGACUGUUUAUCAGAACAGGCCUGACUUCAUUUUAGGUCACGAUACACCAAAUAACAUUAUAAAUACACUCUCAAAAAAAAAAUAAAAAGGUACAAAAGCUGUCACUGGGGC
ensembl:lncRNA